rnacentral:rRNA from 1 species
CCUACGGGAGGCAGCAGUGGGGGAUAUUGCACAAUGGGCGCAACCCUGACGCAGCGACGCCGCGUGGACGAAGAAGUAUUUCGGUUUGUAAACUUCUAUUAUCAGGGAAGAAGAAAUGACGGUACCUGAGGAAGAAGCACCGGCUAAAUACGUGCCAGCAGCCGCGGUAAUACGUAGGGUGCAAGCGUUGUCCGGAUUUACUGGGUGUAAAGGGCGUGUAGGCGGGACGGCAAGUCAGAUGUGAAAUCCCGCGGCCUAACCGCGGGACUGCAUUGGAAACUGUCGGUCUUGAGUACCGGAGAGGUAGACGGAAUUCCUAGUGUAGCGGUGAAAUGCGUAGAUAUUAGGAGGAACACCAGUGGCGAAGGCGGUCUGCUGGACAGUAACUGACGCUGAGGCGCGAAAGCGUGGGGAGCAAACAGGAUUAGAUACCCGUGUAGUC